rnacentral:rRNA from 1 species
GACGAACGCUGGCGGCGUGCUUAACACAUGCAAGUCGAACGAUGAAGCGGUGCUUGCACCGUGGAUUAGUGGCGAACGGGUGAGUAAUACGUGAGUGACCUACCUUUGACUCUGGGAUAAGCCUGGGAAACUGGGUCUAAUACCGGAUACGACCAAUCUCUGCAUGGGGUGUUGGUGGAAAGCGUUAUGGAGUGGUUUUAGAUGGGCUCACGGCCUAUCAGCUUGUUGGUGAGGUAAUGGCUUACCAAGGCGACGACGGGUAGCCGGCCUGAGAGGGUGACCGGCCACCCUGGGACUGAGACACGGCCCAGACUCCUACGGGAGGCAGCAGUGGGGAAUAUUGCACAAUGGGCGCAAGCCUGAUGCAGCGACGCCGCGUGAGGGAUGACGGCCUUCGGGUUGUAAACCUCUGUUAGCAUCGAAGAAGCGAAAGUGACGGUAGGUGCAGAGAAAGCGCCGGCUAACUACGUG